CAACGUUUGAAUAUUAUACUCAGUCAGUUGCUCGACUACUUACAGUCCUAUUACUUGAGACUUAUACUUGGUUAGCUGUCGUGUACAUUAUUCUGACAUAAAUGACACCAUGUCUAUGUGCAAGUCAGAAGGACCUGACCAUCUAAAAAGAUGUCAAAUUAGUGUGGUACAUGCUUCAGUACUGCAAGUUGGAGUAGCAAGUAAGUAUACACAUCAAAUGAAAGUACUGCUUUAGUACAACAUGCUUCAGUACUGACCAUCUAAAAAGAUGUCUAAUUAGUGUGCACGAAUCAUGUUAAAACCUGUAGUGCCUACUUGCGCAUUGAUACUCAUACCUGACGGUGAUAAAAGUUGCAUUUUGAGAUUCAAUUCUUUGAUUUAUGAUGCUCUGCCAUAUGCACAAUGAGAACAUAUAUCCUUCUUACUGAUCUCUGUUUUUCUAAGUUGAAACUAUUUCUUUGUUACUUGGUGUAUGUGAAGUGCCAUCAUAGUCCUGUCACAAACUUGUUUGAGGAAGGCAAAAGACUGGCCUUUUGCAGGACAGAGAAAAGACCGGCUUAUUUUAGUUCAACACAACAUAGCAAGCUCAAUAUAUAUUAGUUAGCACAUGGCAGGAUGCAGACUAGCCAUGUUCAUUUGUCAACAUUUAUACUUUCCAUUGUGUAGUUGAAGCACGCAUAGGAGCGUCCCAGUUAUGAUGUAUAGUUCACAAUGUUGAUUUGGUAAGUAGUUAGAAAACAUAUGUGAUGUAUAUGUAAAAAGUUGUGCCUCAUUCAAUUCAGAUAAUUGAUUUUCUGACUUUGCAUAUCGAUAAUUGAAAACGAUGCAUGACACACGUGUUAGUGAAAUAGAACAGUAUUAGUGUAGUCCGUGGCUUUGAAAUAUUCGAAAUAGUGGUGUCACAUAACUUCUUAUAAUCAUGGCGUAUAUUCUAGGAUCAUAAAAUUCUCUGAAAUAGUUUAUAUAUUUUUUCUUUCUCUUUUUGUUGUGAAUAUAAAAUUUCAGGCUUUCUCUUAUUGAAACACACAGAGUUCUUGAUAAAUGAGAAAGAGUCAGUUAUGUCAACACCAUGAGCACCCUUGAAUAAAAGUUUAUGUCGGUGUACUAGAGUAGGGGUACCCUAGUAUCCCGAACUCGUGCACGGGCAGUUGCAGCGCCCCGCGGCAAGGCUUGUCGGGUGACCGCCAAGACCCUCCAUGGUUCCCUUGAAGACCAUUCAAGAACAAAGUACUCAAACCAAGGCCCCGGCAAGAGGAGCUUGCCGGGAAGGCCAACCCAGGCCCCGGCAAGAGGAUCUUGCCGGGAAGAGACAAGACCCCGGCAAGAGGAGCUUGCCGGGAAGGCCACUCAAGGCAUACCAAGAAAGCUUGCCGCGACGCGCCCUGCGUCCCGGCAAGAUCCGGCGAGCGACAAGCUUCCAGACGCGACAAGACGACGACCCCGGCAAGGUACUUGCCGGAGGCCAGUUGCCACUAUGUACCCACGCUCCAGCGCACCCACCCGCGUGUCGCCAUGAGGCUUCCUCAGGGGGCGCGUGGCGGGAGCCUGUGCAGCUAGGGGUACGUGGUGGCAAGCGGAGAUGAAGAGAAGGCCAUCGUGGCGAACGGUGGCGCUCCUAACGGUCACUUUUUGCACUGUUUAGGCAAUUCAGACAGGCAUUCAAUGCUCUUGUCCCCUGCCGUCAGAGUUAGGUAGGGUGCACUGUGUCUACAGUAGCGGUAGCUGCACCUACCGCAUCCUUUUCCAUUUUUACCCCUCUUGUCUACGUUGCCACCUGUCGGUGACCCCUUGAGAGUAUAAAAGGAGGCCCAAGCGCAACGUAGAAGAGGUUCGGCCGGUUCGGCUCAUUCGAAACACCAGGGACACUCCCACGCUCAGUCUGAUAGCGUCGAUCGCUCCUGAGCAAGGAUUCAAUACACACAAACAAGCAGCAGUAGGGUUUUACGCAUCCGUGCGGCCCGAAGCUGGGUAAAACUGCUCGCGUGUACUGCCUCGAUCCGCUCUUUGUUCAACCUCCGCCCUCACCGAAUAGAAAGGGGCUCGGUCCGCCGAUCCCCAUAGGUGUUCGUGGAUCAGUUUUCCCGACAUCUUUGGCGCGCCAAGUAGGGGGAGCUUCGGCGGCAGCUGUUCCGUCCACGUCAAGGCUCAGCUGUUCUUCAUCGUCAUGGCUCCUAAGAAGCGGGCGAGCAAAAGAACGACGCCAGUGCGGCAACAGAAAAGCUAAGUCGUGCGAAACUUUAGAUAUUUCCUUUCUAUAUAAGGUUAUCCGCCUCGGAGAUUUUGUUCUUUGUAUGGAAAACCUGUGCGCGGAGGAAUCAACUCGUAGCUAGUUGCGCCCUUACUCUGUUUCGAGUCCGCUCAAUAACUUAAGUGAGCUGCUAGCGCCCUUACUUUGCUUCGAGUCCGCUCAGCAACUUAAGUGAGCCGCUAGCGCCCUUACUUUGUUUCGAGUCCGCUCAACAACUUAAGUGAGCUGCAACUAGUUGCGACAAGGUUGCUUGUCGGUAGCGACCCCGCCAGCAGGCUGCUGAAGUUCCGCACUCGGCGCUCGCGGCAAGGGUGCCUGCACCGGCAAGUUUCCCUAGAAAGCGUAGGGUGGACGUACAAAGAGAAGUUGAACAGGAAGAUAGCAUGCACUAUUUAUUUGAGAUUUCUGCAUAGACCUGUAUGCCAAGGAGCCUUCUCGGGGCUAGUUGCGCUCCAUGUUGCCUCGAGUCCGCUCGGCAACUUGUGCGGUUGCGCUAGAACCAAGAAGGUAAACCUUUCCGGGAGGCGAUGCUCCCGAAUAGCCGCUAAGGGCCCGUUCCCUCAAGCGCUGCUGGCUGGAUCGUACGCACCGGAAAGCAUUCCAGCAGGCAUAGGGAAUAUGCAGCAAAAGUCAAAAUUCGCAAGCGAGUUAAGUGCACUUUAGAUGCUAAUCACUUGUCAUGUUUAAAUGCAGUUAUGGCCCGAGGGCUGGCAACGCCCCUAGGACCAAUCUUUUUGGUGUCAAGAACAACGAAGUUCUUCGCCAUAAGCCUUUCCGGCAACGAUCUUGCCGGGAGCCGGUGUCAAGAACGACGAAGUUCUUCGCCAUAAGCCUUUCCGGCAACGAUCUUGCCGGGAGCCGGUGUCAAGAACAACGAAGUUCUUCGCCAUAAGCCUUCUCGGCAACAAGCUUGCCGGAAGCCGGCAUCGAGAACGUCAAAGUUCUCUGCUGGAGAUAAAAGCCUUCUCGGCAACAAGCUUGCCGGAAGCCGGCAUCGAGAACGUCAAAGUUUUCUGCUGAAGAUAAAAGCUUUUCUGGCAACAAGCUUGCCGGAAGCCGGCAUCGAGAACGUCAAAGUUCUCUGCUGGAGAUAAAAGCCUUCUCAGCAACAAGCUUGCCGGAAGCCGGCAUCGAGAACGUCAAAGUUCUCUGCUGAAGAUAAAAGCCUUCCUGACAAUAAGCUUGCCGGAAGUCGGCAUCGAGAACGUCAAAGUUCUUUGCUGAAGAUAAAAGCCUUCCUGGCAACAAGCUUGCCGGAAGCUGGCAUCGAGAACGUCAAAGUUCUCUGCUGGAGAUAAAAGCCUUCCCGGCAAGCCAGUAUCACUGGGGGCUGCGCUGGGGAUGCUCUGCGAAGUGAUGGCCGAAUCUGGCAAGGUGGUCUCGGGCGCGCCUCCUGUCGUCGUAGUGGGCUCGUCCUCGAUGACCACCACCUGAGCCUUGGCCCUCUUCGCCGCCCUCUGGGCCAGAGUCCUGAAAAGGGAGAGUCCAGGGUGGGUCAGAUCAGAUGCAAGACAACAUCAGCAAGUUGAAGAACUACAAGAACAACAAGGGAAUCUUACUCUUCUUCCUCUUCCUCGUCGGAGCUGAGCGCGGAAAGGUCGAAGUUCGGCCCACCUCCGGCACGACGAGGUGGAGGGGUGGGAUCCCUUGGCCGCUUGGCGGGGGCUGCGGCGCCAGCCCGAGACGUCCCCGCUUCAGUUGUCGCUGCGGCAGGAGGCGCUCCCGCGGCUACCGUACUUGCCGCGGUAGAGUGCGUCGCGCGACGCUGCGGCUGUUGGCCCACUUGCCACCCUGCUACGUCGCCAACCCUGCGGAGGCGCCUUCUUGGCUGCGCUGCGGGCCCUGCUCGCGGCAAGCUCCUCGGAGAUGGCGGGCCGCUCGCACCCUCGGCGGGCUCGUUCGACUCGGCGUCGGGCGCGGCGAGCUCUUCUUCCUCUUCGGGCUGCUCCCGUUCGGCAAGACUCAUCGCCAACGUCGCGUCCGCUUCCUCCACGGUGAACCCGAAUUCACCCGCGGCCGCGGCUGCCGCUGCCUCUUCCGCCCUGGUGGCGAUGCGCUCCAUCUCUUGAUCAGUGAUGUCGCGGGUGAGGAGCUUCUUCUCGUCAGCAUUGACCGCCACCUCCACUAGGCUGUCGAAGAACUGCUGCACGACGUCGCCGGCGGGCUCUUGCCAAGUUGGAGCGAUCCCGUGCGAGUCACACAACGGCAUCAUGGCGCAGAUGCGGUCGCGCGAGGAGUUGUUGCACAGAGGAACGACGCCUGCCGGCAACCUGAACCACUCGGGAUGCUGUGGGUCAUGCUUGAAUAUCUCCUUAAGUAUCCUGUCCAACUCUAUGACGGUGAAAUUGAAGUUGAGGCCUGGGCGCAACCUCAUGAUAUCUGCCGGGCCUCCAAAUUCCCAGGCGGGUCUCCCCCUCGCCUGCAGAGGGGCGAUCCGCCGACGAAGGAAAUCUGCGCCAACAGCUCCUACGGUCAGCCCGGCAAGCCUAAGGCGCAAGAUCCGGGUGGUGGCGAUCUUCAACUUGUCAUCGUCCGCGGACAGAGCGCUCCAAUCAUUGCCUCGCACUGCUGGGGCUUGGCGCAGGGCGGUGAACGGCUGCGGGUUCUCCUCUACAACCCAGCACCAGUUUGCUCUCCACUCAUCCCACUUGCUGCGGAGCUCCCCCUCCAGAUAGGUCUCUUUCUUGCCGGCUCGCGAGAUCCAGGCGAUCCCCCCGGCAAGGGUUUCCCCUCUCUCGACACGGGGCAUGAAGAAAUGGCGGAAGAGAGCUACGUUGGGGUGGACUCCGACAAAGUUUUCGCAUAGAUGGGCGAAAACUGCCACGGUCAAGACGGCGUUGGAGGUAAAAUCAAGGAGGUGGAGCCCGUAGGUGUUCAUGAUAUCACAAAAGAAAUCAGAGAAUGGCGGACAGAGCCCGCAGUAGAAGAACACGGCAAAGAAAGGUACCCGCCAACUGGAGCUUCUUGCGAGGUGAUGGCAGAGAGUACCUUUGUGCGCGGAUGCGCCCGUGUCUCCGUCGACCAGAAGAGAUAGUACCACUUCCUCAGAUCCUUUGCGGAGAGCUCGGGGAGGAAAGUGGCCCGCUCUUUCCGCAGCGCCUCAAGCCGCUGCGCUUCGGUCGACUUCACAGCUUUCGCGGCCUUCCCCUUUCCGGGCUUCGGAGCCAUGGCGGAGGCGGUGGGGGAGAUCGACGGCGCUGGUGGUGGCGGCGGCGACGGGAGCGGAGCGCUGCUCUCUUUCGACUUUGAAAAUUAAGAAGGGCGGCGGAGGUUUCUGAGAUUGCAGCAGCAAAUGGCGAAGAUAGGGGAAAUACCCCUGUUUCCCCUGCUUAUAAGGAGGAGGGGGCGGACGUUGCGUUCUUUCCGAAUAAAGAACCACCCACGAUCUCCCCCACGACGCCGUGAUUGACGCGUGCCGUUGCGGGGGGUGCGGUGGAUACGGAGCGAGAUUUGGUGUGGACCCAGGCCGCGCGUGCCCGUGCACUGUUUUGGGCCUGGCCCAACAGCGCUCGGCACCGUGUAUGGCCCAGGCCCGGGGGCUCCCGUCGGUGUACUAGAGUAGGGGUACCCUAGUAUCCCGAACUCGUGCACGGGCAGUUGCAGCGCCCCGCGGCAAGGCUUGCCGGGUGACCGCCAAGACCCUCCGUGGUUCCCUUGAAGACCAUUCAAGAACAAAGUACUCAAAUCAAGGCCCCGGCAAGAGGAGCUUGCCGGGAAGGCCAACCCAGGCCCCGGCAAGAGGAUCUUGCCGGGAAGAGACAAGACCCCGGCAAGAGGAGCUUGCCGGGAAGGCCACUCAAGGCAUACCAAGAAAGCUUGCCGCGACGCGCCCUGCGUCCCGGCAAGAUCCGGCGAGCGACAAGCUUCCAGACGCGACAAGACGACGACCCCGGCAAGGUACUUGCCGAAGGCCAGUUGCCACUCUGUACCCACGCUCCAGCGCACCCACCCGCGUGUCGCCAUGAGGCUUCCUCAGGGGGCGCGUGGCGGGAGCCUGUGCAGCCAGGGGUACGUGGUGGCAAGCGGAGAUGAAGAGAAGGCCAUCGUGGCGAACGGUGGCGCUCCUAACGGUCACUUUUUGCACUGUUUAGGCAACUCAGACAGGCAUUCAAUGCUCUUGUCCCCUGCCGUCAGAGUUAGGUAGGGUGCACUGUGUCUACAGUAGCGGUAGCUGCACCUACCGCAUCCUUUUCCAUUUUUACCCCUCUCGUCUACGUUGCCACCUGUCGGUGACCCCUUAAGAGUAUAAAAGGAGGCCCAAGCGCAACGUAGAAGAGGUUCGGCCGGUUCGGCUCAUUCGAAACACCAGAAACACUCCCACGCUCAGUCUGAUAGCGUCGAUCGCUCCUGAGCAAGGAUUCAAUACACACAAACAAGCAGCAGUAGGGUUUUACGCAUCCGUGCGGCCCGAAGCUGGGUAAAACUGCUCGCGUGUACUGCCUCGAUCCGCUCUUUGUUCAACCUCCGCCCUCACCGAAUCGAAAGGGGCUCGGUCCGCCGAUCCCCAUAGGUGUUCGUGGAUCAGUUUCCCCGACAGUUUACAAUCUGAGGUUCCCCUGGUAAUAAAUUUGAUCAUAAUAUGUAUUCGUAAUUUUUCUCACAUAGAUUUGUUUAGAUAUAAAAUUGACUGUUCCCAACAAUACAUUGAUUUCUUUUUGCAGGGAGAGAUCUUGUAAGAACAUAAGUGCCUUAGAAGAAAAGAAAAAGGUAAGUUCCCAUUGCAUGUAUUAAUUAGCUUACUGAAUUCUUUCCCUCAAGAAGAAAUAGACUUAAUCGCAUAUUUGUUGAUGGAUACCAACACAGGCUGCCAGUGGCCACUGGCCAGGCUGGGAGGAUCAAACGGGUUGUGUGUUCACCGGACUCUAGCUUUUAGUGCGCUGCACAGUUUAGGGAUAAUUAAUUUGGUGAUUUAUGCUUCGUUCUCGAAUGAUUCGAUUUUAUAUGUGGAUUUAUGUAUAAGCAUUAGUUUAUGUUGGAGCACUACCCUUUGCCCCCUUACUCAUGGUUUAUAUUAUCAUGCACUUUUUGGGUGGAUUCGUACAACAAGUCAAAUGAGGCAUCCGACUUAGCAAGCUCAUGCUCUCGUUUUCCUUGAAUUGCAUCUAAGAGCAACUCAAAGUGUUGAUUUACAUCUGUAGUUAUGUUCCCAAUGUUGAGGUUAGUGAUUUUCUUAUAGCGGUGAAUUUAAUCUGGAUGCUAAUGAAAGUCUAGCUAGGACGAAAUCUAUCAUGUUUCUGUCGGGAAAACUUGUGAUCAAUGGGUUUACUAAAAUUGACUUUUGGUCUGUAUUAAUGGGCAUUGGCUAUUGUUGUCAUUGGAAUGCGCUUUCUUGUAGUAGUAGGUCAAGAGAACUUUUAUGCAUAACACAAUGCCUUUCAGUUUAUAGAUUCAUAACUGAUAACUGUAAUAAUAUUAUUGAAGAGUAUUUCCUAUUAGAUAACUAAACUUAACAUCACAUCUCUUUAUUUUUGUUUUUCCUUCUGAGAACCUUAGAACCCUGCUUGGAAGACUAUUUAACCCGUCAUUUUUCUAUUUAUUGUUCAAAAUUGCUUCCGUUAACAUGAUCAUGAACACACAGGUUGUAUAUUUAUUUUAAUCGUGUGUACUUGUGACC
rnacentral:lncRNA from 1 species